rnacentral:misc_RNA from 1 species
UUGAUUGGUCGAAAGACCUUAUCAGAUUCUACCACCUCUGUGAACCGUUGACCUCCGGGUUAAUAAUCAAACAUCAGUGCAACGAACGUAAGAGUAUCUUAAUUAAACA